rnacentral:rRNA from 1 species
CACCUGUUUAUCAAAAACAUGGCUUAUUGAAAAUAAUUUUAGGUUAAUCUGCCCAAUGAUUUUAAUUAAAUGGCUGCAGUAUAAUUGACUGUACAAAGGUAGCAUAAUCAAUUGUUUUUUAAUUGAAAACUAGAAUGAAAGAAUUAAUGAGAUAUAUACUGUCUCAUAUAUAUUUAAUGAAUUUAAAUUUUUAGUAAAAAUGCUUAAAUAAUUUUAUGGGACGAUAAGACCCUAUAGAAUUUUAUAUUAAUAUUUUAUAAAUUAUUUUGUAUAAAUAUUAAUAUUUAAUUGGGAGGAUUAAUAAAUUUAUAGAACUUUAUUUUAAAAAUAAACUUUGAUUUUAGAAUUAAUUUUUGAUCUUUUAUUAAAAAUCAAAAGAAUAAAUUACCUUAGGGAUAACAGCGUAAUAUUUUUUUAAAGAUCAUAUUUAAAAAAGUGUUUGCGACCUCGAUGUUGAAUUAAGAUAAAUUUUAAACGAAGAAGUUUAUUAAUUAAGUCUGUUCGACUUUUAAAAUCUUACAUGAUUUGAGUUCAAAUCGACGUGAGUCAGAUUGGUUUCUAUCUAUAA